rnacentral:rRNA from 1 species
CACGUAGGGGGCGAGCGUUGUCCGGAUUUAUUGGGCGUAAAGAGCUCGUAGGCGGCUUGUCGCGUCGGAUGUGAAAGCCCGGGGCUUAACCCCGGGUCUGCAUUCGAUACGGGCAGGCUGGAGUGUGGUAGGGGAGAUCGGAAUUCCUGGUGUAGCGGUGAAAUGCGCAGAUAUCAGGAGGAACACCGGUGGCGAAGGCGGAUCUCUGGGCCAUUACUGACGCUGAGGAGCGAAAGCGUGGGGAGCGAACAGG